rnacentral:sRNA from 1 species
GCCGGGCGCGGUGGCGGGCGCCUGGAGUCCCAGCUACUUGUGAGGCUGAGGCAGGAGAAUGGCAUGAACCCAGGAGGCAGAGCUUGCAGUGAGCCAAGAUAGUGCCACUGCAGUCUGGCCUGGGCGAAAGAGCGAGACUCCGUCUCUAAAAAAAAAAAAAAAAAAAUUAGUCUCGCUCUGUCACCCAGGCUGGAGUGCAGUCGCGCGAUCUCGGCUCACUGCAACCUCCGCCUCUAGGGUUCAAGCGAUUCUCCUGCCUCA